GGCUGACUUAAAUACAAACUCAAUAUAAAAGUUCUUUGAAAACACUUUGGUCUGUUUUAUUGUAACUUUUUUCAAAAACUGUAUAUUAUUACUUGUAUUUUUUUUAACCAGACUGGAUAACAAAUAGGUCUAUACUUCUGUAAUGUAAUAUGCAGAAUAAAUCUCAACAAUCAAUCAACAGGCUAUAAUAAAACUCUUAAAUUUUAAGUAGACUGUGUAAAUCUUUCAGAUAUUUAAAUUUUAAAGCAAAUAUAAGGAGCUGUGAUGGUGUGGUGAUCAGAUGACAGGCGAUGGGGAUUCUUCAGCUGGAUGUUCUGCAGCAGCCAGGAAACAGGAAGUCUGGGAUCUCAGGAGAGCCUCUAGAUGAUAACUGUAAUUGAAUACUUACACUGAGUGACAAAAAAGGGUUUGUCCUUAAAUAAUAAUAGUAUAAACUUGUAGUCAAAUGUUAUAACCAAUGAAACAGACUUGAAAAAUGUAUUUGAAUCAAAUUUAAUAUUUAUGUGAAUAUAACAGUCUGAAUUACAAAAUAACCAAAUUAUCUUACUACAAAUAUAUCUCAAAAAAGGUGUAUAUAAGUUUAUAUAAUUUAUCAAAUUGCACUUGUAAGCCAAACUAUCAGUGCUUAUUUCAAAGUGUAAUGCAAAAUUAAAAUGACAAAUGUAGGGCUCUGUAAGUAGUUUCUACAGUGAGUUCUACUGUACUGUAAUUCUAUUACUGUAUAUUCAACUUUUUACUAGUAAUUUCCAGCAAAAUGAGUGGAUAUGAAAGUUUAACGACAGGAAAGAAGGAGCAGUGAGAGCGGAGAUCUCUCCGAAUUCUGAAAACAGAUCGAUGAAGUUGCGGUAACUUCAAUUCCAAAAACUUGGGUUUCUCAAACUUGGGUUUCUCAAACUUGGGUUUCUCAAACUUGGGUUUCUCAAACUUGGGUUCAAGCUUGUCAAAUUAGAUAGAGCUCAUGGCGGAGAAAUGAUAGAAGAUAGAAUGGCUUGUCAAAAAAGAUGGAGCAGGGAGAGGGAGAGUGAUAGGACAGACUGAAUUGCUUGUUAAUGAUAGAGGGAGAGGGUUUUCUGCAGCAGGUCACCUGUAAGACAGAAAGAAAGUGGAAUUAGACACACUUCCAAUAAACCUGGCUUUACCGUAUUUUUCAGACUAUAAGGCACAUUUAAAAGCCUUUAAUUUUCUCAAAAAUAGACAGUGCACCUUAUAUAUGGUUGCGCUUACUGACUUCAAACCAAUUCUAUGUGGUACACGGCACUCAAAAAUCUGUCAAAUGUUUUAGUAUGUCUUUGGUAAGCUACAAAGCAGCACCACUUGAUGUAUUGUCGGAGCAUGGCUACCAUAGUCAGCACCCUCGUAGAGUAAUUCGUACUGUGCUUCAACAUAAUAUGGUGUGUGUGUAUAAGGGCCUGGCACCUGUUGAGAGCCAUGCUUAUGAAGCAGAUUUCAAACUGAUCAAUCCACAUUCAUCAAUCCACAAAUCCUGAAAAGUGAGUGUAUUGUUCUGUAUUUUAUGUCUUACAACUGAACAAUUUUGAGAGUUACUGUAAAUGAGUUGAAUAAAGUUUGGCUUAUCUGUUUUGUUUGGCUUAAUGUGCCUUAGAAUUUAGUGCGCCUUACAGUCCGAAAAAUACAGAACAUAUAUAUCAUUACACACUGAAGAGUUGUACAGUACAUUAUUAGAUUCAACUGAAUGAAAAUGUUUAACAUAUGGUGGUGGAACAUUUCUGAGGACAUUUUUGCAUUCUAUUAACACAAUAAAAACAGAGUCUGUAAACCAAGAUGUGGUGCUACAGUAACUUACUGUAAACAUUAUAUGGUCAAGCUAAACCCACACAAUGAAGACAGUUUCAGACCACCUGCUUUAAACACUUCACAUGAACUCAACUCAAACUUAUGACACAUCACAUGUUCCUAAAUGCCCAAAGGUCUCAAAUUCCCAUUUCUGUGUGUACUUACCUGGUACAACAGUAUAUCAUAAUGUCUGGGGAGCCGUUAACAUAAAAGUAAAAAAUAAUUUACUCAGUAUGACUUUUGGCAAAAUGAAAAAUUUGGAGACAGAUGACUCCUAUACAGCAGUUUCUACAUAUUUCAGUCAAAUAUGGGGCAUGUUUAAUACACACUCCGCUAAAUCUACAAUAUAAUUAGCAUGGCCGAUAUUAGGGCCUAAUUAAAAAUGUAGUAUGAUGAUAACAGAGAUCUGUAAGUCUGGAAAUGUUUACAUAGACUAUUCUAUUAUUUGAUUGCCAAGAGCUGUGCUGACUCACAGCACUGAAUCUCCUAUAAUGAGAAAACAUUUCCCAGCACUUCACCUCAGACAAACCUUUACUUACCAGACUUGAGACGAUCAGAUCAGCAGUCUAGAGAAAGGAAACAAUACAUCAGAUCACUGUUUGAUGAUUCAGACUGUUGAGGCUCUUCACACACAAUCCAAUUUACU
ensembl:lncRNA